CAAUAAAGCGGAGGAAAAGAAACCAACAGGGAUUGCCCCAGUAACGGCGAGUGAAGCGGCAACAGCUCAAAUUUGAAAUCUGGCCCCCAGGGACCCGAGUUGUAAUUUGCAGAGGAUGCUUUUGGCGACGGUGCCUUCCGAGUUCCCUGGAACGGGACGACCAUAGAGGGUGAGAGACCCCGUCUGGUCGGACGACCUAGACCUGUGUAAAGCUCCUUCGACGAGUCGAGUAGUUUGGGAAUGCUGCUCUAAAUGGGAGGUAUAUGUCUUCUAAAGCUAAAUACCGGCCAGAGACCGAUAGCGCACAAGUAGAGUGAUCGAAAGAUGAAAAGCACUUUGAAAAGAGGGUUAAAUAGUACGUGAAAUUGUUGAAAGGG
rnacentral:rRNA from 1 species